UAUAAAAUGCUGACACAUGAGAUUUCUCUACAUUUCAAGCCCGUUCUCAAGACUCUCGAUUCUUCUAUACUCGCCAAUAAGGUGGCCGGCCAGGAACACUAACGAAUCUUCUCGAAGGCUACACGUACAUGUAUGGCCGGCCAUACACAACGAUAUCUCCUCAUCCAUCACACUCGACUCGAUAAACAUUACAAAGACCAAUCAUCUCAUUCAUAAUUAUUAUUGUACACAGCUAUUAUGUUUUGAGGGGCCCCUCGUUAUUAUAUUAUUUCAAUAGUCACUGUUGUGUUGUGUUGGUGUUGGAGACUAUGGUGCCUGGAAUAGAGUGACUGAACUGAAAAUGGACCACAAAAAACGUUAAAACUGCAAAAUCAAGUGUCUAAGUCUACAAAAUAUCUUUAAGACUAGCUAUCUACUCAAGUCCCCAAGUCAAUUUAUCUCCAGCCACUCGAAGAAGGACGAGGACACUGGAGGAACAUGCAAGGACUCAUACUGGCACUCCUCACCUGCAUGGAUAGGAGGCUGGAAUAGCAGUUGUAUUUUACUGAGCAUUACAAUUAUGUAGUUACUGAGCAUUAUAAUGACGUUCAUUACUGAGCAUUGUGUCCAAUUAGCAUGCUAUAAUCAUGUGUCCUGACCUCUGACCCCAAUCACCUCUUGUCACAAUACAUGUUGUGAGCCGACCGGAGACCACUAAUGGAACUCUAAUAGAGGAAGCGUCCAGUCUAUACAACGCACUGCUACUACUCAAGUACAAGUCUGCACGAUAGGGAUCAUCUCUCUACGUACUGGUAGAAUUAACAAACUUCCCCCUCCUUAAAGACGAACUACUGUUGGAAUUCCAAGCAAGCAAUGAAGAGCUGAUUAAUUUUAAUUCAAACAAACAAACUAUUAGACAUGUACUGAGACUGACUCCUUUAUAGUAUUGAGUCCCACUCCCCCCCAUGCAUGUGUCCCCAUGCAUGCCUCUCUGCCAUGCUCACCAGAUUACAGGAAACAGCAAGCCUAUCUACUAUACUCCUACUGUUAUACUCAAGUCAAGUCUCUAUAUCACUGGAAGGAUUUCAAUACAAACAACGCCCUCCUCCUUAAGGACGAGGACAGUGGACGGACAGCGACUGAUACUGGCACUCCUCACCUGGGUUGUACUGCAAGGGUGGAGUUAUAUCCAGCAUUAUAAUAAUAGGCAUCAUUAUUAUUACUGCAUGAGCAUUACAUUACAUGCUGUGUCCUAACCUCUGCCCUAACAAUGUUAUUAUCACAAUACAUGUUCUGGGAGACCACUGGCAGAAUUUGGAGAAUACUAGAGGAAACAACACUAUACAGAGUAUCUACUGCUACUAUACUGAAUUAAGUCAAGUCUGUAUGGAGCAUCUCUUCACCAAGCAAUGACAUCACUGGCAUUGGUGGAAUACAAUGUCCUCCUCCUUAAGAAAAAGUGAGUGUCUAUAUUAUAUAUGUAUUACAGUGGAACCUCUGUUAACAACUACCUCCGAAUAAAGGCCAGUUGCUAUAUAUAUAACGGCCAGGCACUCAGGUCCCAAAUAACAGUUUGUGUACUACAAUUAAAACAACCUCUCAACAAAGGCCACCUCUGAUGUAUAAAGGCCAAAACAUUGAUCCCCAUGCAUACAAAUUAAGGUGUUCGUUAUAGAGGGAUUCCACUGUACAUGCUCCUAUAGCUAUGAUUAUAGUGUUCUGUGUGUAUUAUGAGUUGCAACAUUAUUGUCCUAUACAAUCGUGUGUGUGUAUUCUAACCCUCUGCCCUUGUACCCACAGCUACUAUACUCAACUACAUCUCAUCAGUCAUAAUUCAAUCAUCAACUCAUUUUAUUUAUUGGGGGCCCCUUCAUAUUUUGAUUUCUUUUUUCGUUUUCGUUGUUAUAAAUCAUGAAAGAAGAAGAAAAAUGAUCAGGAGGAGGAGUGGUCAGGCCACACCUACAAUGUACAUGUGACCUCUAAUGCAAGGCCACACCCACCUUUCCACACCUUCAUACAGUACGUGUAACUAUACUCGAUUUCUAACCACCUGGAUUUAACAUAACCUUCAAACCAACUGGAAACUAACAGAACGUUCCAAUCAACUGGACUGGGAUAGCCUCAAUAGAUAUCCCAGAUGGUCCCAUGGGCGGAUGGGCAGGGGGCCAGCGAUGCAGUGCCACAUACUCGCGACGGUGCUGGCUGUCACACUGCAUGGAAGGAGGACUAUCUCUCUAUAGUGUGCAAGAGCACUGCAAACUGAACACACUUUUGUAAUUUCAAUUUCUCAAUGAUUUGAUAUAAUUAAUUAAUUAAUGUGGUUUUGAAAAUUCAAUAAGAAAUUUUAACACAACAA